rnacentral:rRNA from 1 species
GACGAACGCUGGCGGCGUGCUUAACACAUGCAAGUCGAACGGAAAGGCCCUGCUUUUGUGGGGUGCUCGAGUGGCGAACGGGUGAGUAACACGUGAGUAACCUGCCCUUGACUUUGGGAUAACUUUAGGAAACUGGGGCUAAUACCGGAUAGGAGCUCCUGCUGCAUGGUGGGGGUUGGAAAGUUUCGGCGGUUGGGGAUGGACUCGCGGCUUAUCAGCUUGUUGGUGGGGUAGUGGCUUACCAAGGCUUUGACGGGUAGCCGGCCUGAGAGGGUGACCGGCCACAUUGGGACUGAGAUACGGCCCAGACUCCUACGGGAGGCAACAGUGGGGAAUAUUGCACAAUGGGCGGAAGCCUGAUGCAGCAACGCCGCGUGCGGGAUGACGGCCUUCGGGUUGUAAACCGCUUUCGCCUGUGACGAAGCGUGAGUGACGGUAAUGGGUAAAGAAGCACCGGCUAACUACGUG